ensembl:lncRNA
CCCCUUCCCUCUAAGCGAUGGCUGAGAGGCGGUGCAUGCAGAUGGGGACUCUGCUCGCCCCCCAUCUCACCCCCCAAGCGGAGACUGGUCUUCUCGUCGGAUUGCCCAUGCACUUGUUGCAGAAACAGCCAAGGUAGGCAAGAAGCUUAUUAAGUUUCAUUUUUAAAAAAUUAGUUUGGGGAUGCUCCUCUAGAAGACGGGGGUGGGGCGGAGUGGGGAGGGAAGAGUGGGGAGACAGAGAAGGAGAAGUCUCCCCCCCUUUACUUUCACUAUGCAAGCAGGGCCUUCUCCCUUCUUCCCUUCUUCCCUCUCCUCUCUCUGGGCUGCACAGCAUCCCAGCAAAGGGGGAGGGAUGAGAUGGGCGCUAUAACUGGCAACCCUGGCUUAAAGGUAGUGAUGGUGGGCUUGCAUUUGAGAUUGUGAUGUUAUAAAGGCUUCAUUCUCCAGCUCAGAAACCGCAGGACUCUGCCUUUUGGGGUUUUUGACAUGAUGCAUAUGUGUAUGUAUACGCGCCUGCGGGCUCUGUGGGGGCUGGGUACUCCCCAGAAGUUAGUGUGGCCACCCAGAUGGGAGCAGCGUGUAAGGGGGUAAACCUGUUCCUUCAUUCCCCAACUUCAGUUUGGGAAACUGGGAAGUUACUGCCGGUGGUCUUAAGAAACAGAUACUAAAAACCAAACCAAACCACUCAUUCACUGGCGGAGGCCGAGAGCACCUGGCAGGCAGCCUCUGGGCAGCACUGGACUGGAGCAUGUGCGCCUGCCAUCCUUAGCUUACAAGAAAACGCUUUCUGGUUCCUCCGUGUGCCUUCCACUGGCCUGUUAGAGCCAGCUUUGUGGAAACUCUUCCCCAGACUGGAGGCAGCUUUGGCAACUGCCCGUGCUGAAGGGGGUGUCUUCAAGUCAGCGUGGCCUGGGCUGUCUUGUGAAGUGCGUGGAAGUCGUGCUUAGGAAUGACUGCCCGGGAGUGGCUAAAGAGUUCAUUAAAAAAUGUCUCCCGAAAACCGGUCCAGGUGCACUUUUCAGCAGGUCACGGAGGAGAGCUUUAAGAAGGGGAGUUUUAAGUUGUCCCAGUUAGCACCCACCUUCUGCAUCACUGACCCUUUUAAGAAAGGAGUUUGGCUAUAGGAAGUGUGGUGUUGAUGCUCACUAACUGGAGAGGAUAACAGCAGGAGUCCUCAGCUUAACUAGUUAACCAGCAGCCUUUGCCUCUCCUUCCCUCUGUUUUCUUGGUCCUCAGCCUACUGGUGUCUGCAGAAUAGUUGUAGGUCUUGGCUGUCAGCUACCUUGAUGAUGCUGGGAGUUUUAACUUUGCUAGGAUAAUUUUAGCAUCUGAGGUCCAACCCAGAGACGUUUAGUAGGGUUAGGGAGUAGCCACUAGGCAGUGGGGUUAACUAAGGUUGGUUAAGCUUUCUGCAAUUCUGCAGACAGGCUCUGUUCUAGCAGGGUCGAGAAAAUGGGUUUUAAAAAACUCACUACACAUUGCUGAUGGAGAGUGCUUUUUUUCUUUCCUAACUGUCGUCAGAUUUCCAGAUUGAGGGUUGAUACUUGGCAGUUUGAGAGUUGAGUUAGUUGGGAAUUAAAUAUUAUUGCUGCUUAUCAAAUGUUCCUAACUAGGCAUUAAUUAAACAAAUUAGCUAUUAUUUUUACCUGAUGAAAAUCUGAGUCUGGUUGUUGUAUUUGCUGGGAGGGUAAACAAAAUCUUUAUGUAUGUUCAUUCCAGGGUGGAAUUAUUUACAUGCCUAGCCUCAGAGCCAAGAGCAGUCAUUCAGGUUUUUUUCCUUAUAUUUAUGAGAUUUAUUUUAUUGUCUUGCUUUGGCCAUUAAUCAAGUCACAGUAGGUUUUUUUUUUUUCUCUUCUACCGAGAAUGUUCUUGUGGUAAUAAAGGUUUGAAGGCCCAUGAAUCAUAAUUCAUUCUUUUUAAAAUAUUGUGGUGAUUGUCAGGAUCUGAUUUAUAGGAAUUGAUACCCAGAGUGACACACCUCUCUGGGCUCCGCCCUUUUAGGCAUGUCCGUUUUCGCCAAAGGAUUGUUUAGAAGCCAGCUUGACAUCCCAAAAAGAGCAUUUCCCUUCUGCUGUAGGAGAAGAUUAAUUUUGCAGGUUCCAUAGUAAACAUGGGUCUUUUCACAGCUUGGUAAGCAGGCUUCCACAUAGCAGGCAUGUGUUAUUAUCACAUAGCAUUUAUGUGAGCUUGCUGUGAAAACAGUUGUUCUAUGAACUGUGUGGAAAGUACUCAGUUUUGCCUCCUUUAACCGGCUUGGGCCUGUGGUUUUUGUUGAGUUAGGAACUUAAAGUGUAAAAGAGGAGACAGACUAGUGUUUUUUGCUGCUUAUAUAAUAAAAUGUGUGGUCACAAAAAAUAAAGCUUGUUUAUAAUUUUCUUUUUCUCCUUCUUUAAUGGGUGGGUUGGUCAUAAUAACCGAAAGCGUUUUUUUUGUUUGUUUGUUUUUUGUUUUUUGGCAAAUGUAAGGAUUCUCCUUGAAGUUGAUUAGCCAGGAAGUGUUAAAAUUGUCUUGUGUUCAAUAGUUGGCUCAAGUUUACAGUAUUUGGAAAUUGACAAAGAACUUAAACGUGGUUCAUGCUCAAGACUGGGGAAACAUCACUGGAAGGAAAGGUGGGGAAAGUACCAAUUUGUAGCCAUUUCUGGGCUUUGGAUUUUUUAUCUUAAAAGUGCGUGGUUUGAUCCGUGAGUUCCCUUCCGGCUCUGAAAUUCUGUGUCUUGUAAGCGAGGUCUCCAGAGGUCUUGACAGUCUCUUCCUGAGCCAACGGCCAAUUGCUUCAUGGACUUGGGUGAGCUGACUAACUUCUGUUUUUGUCUUUUCAUGGAGAAAGUGGAUUUGAUCCUUGGUAUUCCAGAAAGGAUUCUUGAGUGGCCUGGUGAUCUUGACCAUCAAACACAAGGAAAUAGUUGUGAAUAAAGUAUUUUUGACAAUGCCAGUCAAAAAAAAAAAAAAAAAAA